UCCGGUGUAGCUCAGCGGCAGAGCGGGUGACUGUUAAUCACUAGGUCGUUGGUUCGAUCCCAACCGCCGGAGCCA
rnacentral:tRNA from 3 species